rnacentral:rRNA from 1 species
CCGCGUGAGCGAAGAAGGCCUUCGGGUCGUAAAGCUCUGUUGUAAAGGAAGAACGGCGCAUACAGGAAAUGGUAUGCGAGUGACGGUACUUUACCAGAAAGCCACGGCUAACUACGUGCCAGCAGCCGCGGUAAUACGUAGGUGGCGAGCGUUAUCCGGAAUCAUUGGGCGUAAAGAGGGAGCAGGCGGCCGCAAGGGUCUGUGGUGAAAGACCGAAGCUAAACUUCGGUAAGCCAUGGAAACCGGGCGGCUAGAGUGCGGAAGAGGAUCGUGGAAUUCCAUGUGUAGCGGUGAAAUGCGUAGAUAUAUGGAGGAACACCAGUGGCGAAGGCGACGGUCUGGGCCGCAACUGACGCUCAUUCCCGAAAGCGUGGGGAGCAAAUAGGAUUAGAUACCCUAGUAGUCCACGCCGUAAACGAUGGUCACUAAGUGUCGGGGGUCAAACCCCGGUGCUGCAGUCAACGCAAUAAGUGACCCGCCUGAGUAGUACGUUCGCAAGAAUGAAACUCAAAUGAAAUUUGACGG